ACGCAAUCCGCGUCCAUAAAAUGUUUGCUUUAUGCAUAUCUAGCAAAGAAAGACUUGUUCACAUGCUUUUACUGAAUUGCUACGGCAGCUGCUGUUUCUGCUUGUGGUGCUUCUUCUUUCGCCUCUCAACGCUGCAAAGAUAGAGAAAAAUCAGAGAAAAGGGGAUGGCAGAGAUUGUUGUUCAAUUAUUAUUUGAAAAGCUAAGUGUUCUUCUAACUCAAGAAGCAUCCCUAUUGAGUGGAGUUCGCAAUGAAGUAGAGAAAAUCAUGCAGGAACUUCAUAGCAUGCAAGCCUUUUUAAGGGAUGCUGAUAGAAGAAAAGAUAGCAAUGAAAGAGUGAGAACAUGGGUACAGCAAGUAAGAGAAGCUGCAUACGAUGUGGAGGACAUCAUUGACAAGUUCGUGUAUCACAUGGACAGGCCACGGCGAGGUGGAGUCAGGGGUUUUCUCGUAAAAACUGUUCGCAUCCCCAAGAAUAUCUACUACAGGCAUUGGUUAGCCACUCGACUCCAAGAAACCAACAGUAGCAUUCGUAACAUUUCUGAGAUAAAAGUUCGGUACGGUCUUAACCAAAUAGAAGAAGGAACAAGCUCUAAUGAUGACAGAGAAAUGUGGCAACGCGAUGUAGAAACUUCUCUUUUCAAAGAGGAUGUUGACAUUGUGGGGAUGAAGAAAGAAUUAGGUUUGAUAGACAGAUGGUUGGUGGAGGAAGAAGAUCGGCUUAUGGUGAUUUCCGUGAGGGGGAUGGGUGGGGUGGGCAAGACCACUCUUGUCACUAAAGCAUACAAAAAUCAACAAGUAAAGAAGCACUUCGACUUCUACGCAUGUGUUUCAAUCUCCCAGACUCUAAAAAUCGAUGAGCUCCUACGAAGCAUUAUAAAACAAUUGCUUGAGGCGACAGAGGAGGCUGUUCCAAAUGAUCUAGCUGCCAAAGAUGCUCAUGAGUUAAGGCGGAUGGUUAGAAGACAUCUCCAAUCGAAAAAGUACCUCACUGUUUUGGAUGAUGUUUGGAGUACGAAUGAUUGGAAUAAAAUAAGUGAUAUAUUUCCAGAUUCUAAAUGUGGAAGUAGAUUAAUAGUUACAACAAGAGACGCUCGUGUGGGUUUUGCAAUGGGAGAGAGAAGCCGUGUCUGUGAGCUUCAGUCUCUACAACAAGAAGAGGCAUGGGAGCUCUUCUGUAACAAGGCAUUUCAGAAUGAACGCUGUCCUACUGAUCUAUAUCCAUUGGCUCGAUCCAUUGUAGAAAAAUGUGAAGGCCUGCCACUUGCAAUUGUUACCAUGGGCAGCCUCUUGUCAUCAAAAGGUAAGUCUGCAUUGGAAUGGAGGCUUGUCUACAAUAGCUUGAGUUGGCAUUUGGAAAAUGAAGGAAUGCUUCAACCAAUAAAUCGCAUCCUGUUGCUCAGCUUCUAUGAUCUACCAUUCCGCCUUAAGCACUGUUUCCUGUAUUGUUGUAUGUUUCCGGAGGAUUACAUAAUUCAGCGCAAGCGGCUAAUUAGGUUGUGGAUGGCAGAAGGUUUUGUAGAAGAUACAGGUAAAAUUACAAUGGAAGAAGUGGCGGAAUUCUACAUGAAGGAACUCAUCUAUCAUAACAUACUUCAAGUUGUCGAGACGAAUGGGUCUGGAAGGGUGAAAGCUUGUCGAAUGCACGAUAUUGUACGUGAAGUGGCCCUAUGCUUAUGUGAUGAAGAGAAGUUCUUCAUGAGAUACAAUGAGCAGCAAGGGAAAGGUGGCAAAGUUCGUCGCAUGUCAAUCCACAAUUCUGAAGAAACUAUUCAACUUAGCAUGAAUAUCUCCGGGCUUCAUUCUCUUCUGGUGUUUGACAGAAGCACGUCUUUCUCAUCUUCUCUAAGUACCAUAGUAUCAAGCGUUAUAUUAUUGAGGGUUCUAAAUUUAGAAGGAGUUCCUAUUGAAAGCAUACCGGAUGAAUUAACGAAGCUAUUCAAUUUACGGUAUCUCAACUUGCGAAAUACUAAUGUUAGGGAGCUUCCGAAAUCUUUCGGAAGGCUACGAAACCUGCAAACACUGGACGUUAGGGAUACAAAACUAGAGAGGCUACCUAGUGGAAUUGUGAAGCUACAAAAGCUACGCCACCUAUUUUUUUAUCGAAUUGAGGACGCGAAUGCAGGGAGUUUCGAUUUGUCGAGUCGCAAACAAGUUCCGGUAGGAAUAUGUAAUAUAACAAGUUUACAAAGUCUAGUAAAUAUUGAAGCUGAAGAAGGGGAGAUUGUUAAACAAGUUGGGAACCUAACCCAACUGAGGAGGUUUGGCAUUUCCAAGGUCAGAACAGUUAGCGGAGCUCAUUUGUGUGACUCAAUAAAAAAGAUGAAACACCUUGUCAGGCUGAGUGUGAUGGCAACUAGAGAGGAAGAAACACUUCAAUUGGAAGCGCUCUCUCCUAAUCCUCCACCAUGUCUUCAGAAGCUUGCCCUGUACGGGACUUUGGAGAACGUGCCUGGAUGGUUUAGCUCCCUUGGGAACCUUACACAUUUGUGGUUGUAUUGGUCUAAGCUAAGAGAAGAAGAUCUGCUUUCAUCACUCCAUGCAUUGCCCUAUCUGGUGUACCUUUCACUUCGGAAAGCCUAUGAAGGGCAGCAGUUCUGUUUUCGCAAUGGAUGGUUCCCUAAGCUGAAGAGAUUAUAUUUUCUACAUUUGACACAGCUAAAUCAGGUAGUAAUAGAGAAGGGAGCAUUGCCAAGCAUCGAAGAGCUAGAUCUGUUCGGUUGUAGCGAGCUGAAGACCCUUCCAGAAGGGAUUGAAUACCUUACCGGACUCCAAAAGCUCUGUUUAAUUGACAUGCCAGUGGAAUUAACAAAGAGGUUGCAGCUAGAAGAUGGAAGCGAGGAGGACUGUAGAAAGGUGGGGCACAUCCCCAUCAUCGAAUGUGGACAAACGACAGACGAGGGGUGGAUUUUUAAACGACUCAAGUAAUCAUCCAUCCAUCCACAACCCACAAACAACCAUAAGGUAAUCGUUGGUUGGUUGAUGAGGUGACUUCAAAUAUGAUGUAGAGCGGGUUGCAGACACUUUCAUGUCCAAGAUGGACCAGAGAAGGCUUGAUCGGAGGCAGAAGUGAUCCGGACUGUCAGAACCUUAAACAGGCGUAUCUCGCAAACUGGAAUGAGUUAUUCGACGUACCGUAUAUGAUUUUGGGGUAGGAGAAGCUACUUUAGCCACCCAACCCUGCUAAGCCAGGUUGCCCAGCCCGAAUUUCUGAGAUUCCAUCAGAUUGACGGUCGGAAAUCCUUUUUAAUUUUGUUUUUACUAUUUAUAAAAAGUUUUAGUUUGAUUAUAACUCUUCAUCCUUUGA